UCAGCAUCCAGCAGUUUCUGCCUCUGCCCU
rnacentral:piRNA from 1 species